rnacentral:rRNA from 1 species
GAUCAUGGCUCAGGACGAACGCUGGCGGCGCGCCUAACACAUGCAAGUCUAACGAGAGAUGAAGAGCUUGCUCUUCAAAUCGAGUGGCGAACGGGUGAGUAACGCGUGAGGAACCUGCCUCAAAGAGGGGGACAACAGUUGGAAACGACUGCUAAUACCGCAUAAGCCCACAGCUCGGCAUCGAGCAGAGGGAAAAGGAGUGGUCCGCUUUGAGAUGGCCUCGCGUCCGAUUAG